CACUGUGUUUGGCUGGAAUCUGAAACAAAACAGUGGACAUGAAGUGUUCUGAAUGGUGUUGGCGAUAAGCACUAGGGGGCUAGCAGCGAAUGUGCUUGCCCUUACUUGAGCUACACUAUUAGACGUCUGGAAGAAAGUUCCAAUAUUUACAGAGGAUGUAGUUUGCAUUAAGGGAAGGAAAAAGGUCCUAUAAACAUUGGUCAUAAAUCUCAUAUCUUCAGAGUUAUGUCCUGCAUGUGGACGAGGAACCUAUCUUGCAUACCAAGCACUUUGAUAUGCAGCACAAUGUGUUUUCAAUGGUAUCAACCAUGCACCCAACCGAGGAACACUUGCAGUAUUCAGCAGCAUACUACGCUCUCGAUGGAGGCCUACUAUUCAACACAAGAGAUGGGAGGUACGGUCUUCUGCCAUGAAGAAGCAGAUGGAAGGAGCCAACGAGCUUUUAACCUCUAUGUCACCAAAUGUCCACAAUGCCAUACACCAUCUGUAAAGAUGUUUUGUACCCUUUUCCAGUGGCUUUGCACCAUGAACAUGGGAUCAUGGCAGACCUCAAACAACUUGCAGUGA